UACGUAGGGUGCGAGCGUUAAUCGGAAUUACUGGGCGUAAAGCGUGCGCAGGCGGUUUUGCAAGCCGGAUGUGAAAUCCCCGGGCUUAACCUGGGAAUGGCAUUCGGGACUGCAAGGCUGGAGUGCGGCAGAGGAGACUGGAAUUCCUGGUGUAGCAGUGAAAUGCGUAGAUAUCAGGAGGAAUACCGGUGGCGAAGGCGGUUCUCUGGGCAUGUCCUGACGCUGAGGAGCGAAAGUGUGGGGAGCGAACAGG
rnacentral:rRNA from 1 species